AAUAGGUGUUGGUGCCUUUCCCCAGAUUAGCUCCCCCAAUUUCGGAGUGGCCAAAGGAUGGGGGAUAUGUCCUCCCUCCUGCCACACAAUCUGGUUUAUGACUAAAUCUAACCCCAUCCUUGUGAGCAUUUUCUUUUCUCCCGCUGAAAUGCUUGUUGGUGUUUUUUGGGAGUGAGUAGCAGGCCCCAGCAUCCUUUGAUUACCCCCUAAUGGAAUCUUUGAUGACUGAGGAAGAUGAAGGAGAGAGGAAUCCUGGCCAUGAUAAAGAUGGCCCCAAUUCUCUAAUUUUUGAGGCACUCACUAUUUCUGCAAUUGAGACCUCUAUUUCCCAAGUGUCCCUUAUUCUGUCUUUGUUAAAUUUCAGAAUGUACAUUUUUUCCUGCUGUGUGAUUGUCCAUCUGUCUGUGCCUGGACAACCACUCCAUCCCCACUGGAUGCAGUAACAACACCACUGCCCACUGGCAUCGUGAACCUGGUAUCCAUCACUGAGCUCUGCUGGGAAUAGUCUACAUGGCAGCUUCUGUGGCUGUUGCUCAGAGUGCUGGGGUUGUGGAAAAGAAAAGUGGUAUAAAUUUAAUGACACAGUUACAGAAGACUUAGACCUAAAUGAUGAGCUCUGGAGUGCGAAUGCUUUGGUGAAGAAUACAGAGCAAAAUUUUAUGAUCAAGACUUCUUAAUGCUGUGCAGUAAAGCAAACACGCACUUAUGUACGCCAAAGAUACCGAAUGCCUGCGUGCUCUUCCACCAGAGCGGGGUCUGAUAAGAACUCCUUGGGAUCACCAAAGAAGUCUCGAGUCAGCUCUGUCCAGCAGGAAGUUGAGGGCCUUUCUCUGUAAGUUUUUCCAUUGUGAAUCCAAAAUAUCUGAGACAGGUCUCAAUAAAUUUGGAACUUUGCAAAGGUUAUGGACGUGACACACCCUCAGGAAGUUUUGAGGACAUGUGCCUAAGGUGGUUGGGUACAGCUUGCUUUUACACAUUUUAGGGUGAUGUGAGCCAUCAGUGAAUGUGUGUAAGCUGUCCAUUGAUUUUGUCCAGAAAGGCAGGACAACUCGAAGCGUGGGAGGGGGCUUCCAGGUCAUAAGUAGAUAAGACAAAUGGUUGCAUUCUUUCAAGUCUCUGAUUAGCCUUUUUCGGAAUACACAAUCUAUAUGUGAGAGGAGGGGAGAGGAAUCUUCACUUAUGCCUUAGUCUGGCUUAGUAAAGCGAUAGAGCAGAAGCAGCAAUGAGAUGUGCAUUUGUCUCAGGUGAACAGAGAGAUGACAUUGUGUUCUGUCCAUUUAGGAGUCCUGAGAUUUAUUUCUUUUCACACCAUAUAACUUGUUGUGUGAUUUAGUAGGUGAUAAUGUGAUCUUUGAGAAUAUAGUAUUUGGGAUCUGAAGAUAAUUAGCUAAGCUAGGGAGAAAUUCUUAAAAUAAUCCUAAAGGGAAAAUAAAUAAAUCCCUUUUCUUAUUAUUUCCUGGUCAUUAUUUCCUUGGCAAUAACUUACUUUGCAUUUAGAAACACGCACAUAAGUUAUUUCCUUUUAGAACUGAGAUUUUUAAAAAUGUACACUUGAGAUUCUUUGCAAAAUGUUGGCAGCAUUUAUUGAAUUACACUUCAUGUCCGAAACAUAAACUAUGUCAACACUCUCAGAAUGUUGUUACUUUUUAAAGGUCUUGUUGUCAGUGAAUUUGCCUUUAAUAUAUUAAAUCAGGAAAGUAUAUAAUUUUUUGCAUGUGAAAAAUGUGAAUA